UUGACGGUCUCUCGGGUGUAGUAAUAGCUGCUGUCUUUUAUUUUAUGAUUCAUGAAUGCUAUUUAGGUUCAGUCGCAGGUAAUCUUUAAUCUACUAAGCGUGGUUGUUUGCACUGUUGAUGUAGGUCAUGAUAAGCUGUUUUCCAUUGGAUCGUCGUAAGGCUCAAGAGGCUGAAUGUGGCAUAAGGCCAGCUCGGAGAAUAGAGCACUGCAAGGGGUCCGAAUGGGUCACUUCUCCACUCUGCCCAGAACAACUCUGAUGUGGGAAGCGUCUUGAGUCUCUUUGUGUGAUUCUCAGGGGUCCCAGUUGGGUUUGGGGAGACCUGGCAGCUAGCUCACUGUAACUCUCACACGGUCGUCCACUGAAGCUAAGCAGGACUUCGUCACUGUCUCCUCUCCACCAAUCAGCUGGUGUGCUGGUGUGUGGCCGUUUGGAUCCCACUGACUAUACGCAGGAUAUUAAAAAUGCAAGACAUUCUGCACUUUAACCAAUCAGAAAAUAAAUUGAGAUUUAUG